CAGAGACAGCAUCUUAUAUGGGGUUCCUGCCAGCUGUCCUCCCAUUGCAAGAUGGUGAGAUGGAGGCUCAGAGAAGGCAAGGUAUUUACCUAAGGUCACACAGCUAGUCAAUAACAGAGCAAGUCUUCAAAGGACAACUAUAACUCCUCCACACAGUGGGGUUGCAAUCCUUGAUCCCACCUCCCAGGAGAUCUUUUCUACUGUAACCCUACCCACCAAGGUCAAUCCUUGAGACUGGCUCUCCUCUGGCCUGCAGGAAGAACUUAACCAUUGGAGGUGUGGGAUGGGGAGCUUGAAAAAUACUGAAUUCAAUUCUUCCCAUUGUACAGAUGGAGACACUGAAGCCAGGAAGGGAGAAAGGAUCAGUCCACACUGCCCGUUUCUUCCAUGUCAUUGAGUAGGAUGCAAAGAUCAGUUCUACUAGCCUCUCUGGAGAUUAUGGCCAGCAGUCCUGAGAGCAUCCAUCUGUGGAGCCAGAGCCAGAGCCAGAGGCAGCCCAACAAGGAGCUCAUCCAUCAGCUGAGCCCAGGCCGGGGCUGGGAAAGAUGACCGCGGGUGUCAGGCCACCCAGGACGCGGGAUGGGGAGGCAAGCUUCUGGAUACGCCAAGGAGGUUUGUUCUGGCUGA
rnacentral:lncRNA from 1 species